rnacentral:lncRNA from 1 species
UAGAAUUAUAACCGAAUGAGUAGACCCUUUACACGAUUUUAACGAAAACAAAAACCCAAGAUAACUUUUGUGCAAUGUUUUCAGGCGAAUCUAUGUGUUCUCUGACCGGAUAAGCAUAGGAACUUGACUGAAAACAGAGAGGUUUAAGGGUUUUUAAAAUGGAAUCAACCAAAAGACGGUUUGUAGAUUAGUUCCAGCAAUAAGCUCGUUGAAAAAAUUUAAAGAGACGACCGAAUCUCUCACUGGAUCAUCGUUACUCUCUCUCUCUCCGUGACCCUCUCUCUCCUACUACUCUAUUUUUCGUGUGUAUGCGGGUUAAUGUGCAGAUGGGUAUGUGUUGCAAAAAAUAGAGGAAAAAAAUAGCUUCCCCUGGUCUCUGUGUGCUCUCUGAUGAAGAUGACCUUG